UCAAGUUAUUAAGGGUGCAGGGCGGAUGCCUUGGCACUAGGAGCCGAUGAAGGACGUGAUAAGCUGCGAUAAGCUUCGGGGAGUUGCACGUAAACUUUGAUCCGAAGAUUUCCGAAUGAGGAAACUCACUUAGAGUAAUGUCUAAGUAUCAUUAAGUGAAUACAUAGCUUAAUGAGGGGAACUCAGGGAACUGAAACAUCUAAGUACCUGAAGGAAGAGAAAGAAAUUCGAUUCCGUAAGUAGCGGCGAGCGAACGCGGAUUAGCCCAAACCAAUAAAGUUUUCUUUAUUGGGGUUGCGGACAUAUCAUAACGAAGAGGUAUCGUAAUUGAAGAGGUUUGGAAAGACCCACCACAGAAGGUAAUAGUCCUGUAUGUUAAACGAGAAGACUUCAGAUAUGAUCCAGAGUACCACGGGACACGUGAAACCCUGUGGGAAGCAGGAGGGACCACCCUCCAAGGCUAAAUACUACCUAGUGACCGAUAGCGUAUAGUACCGUGAGGGAAAGGUGAAAAGAACCCCGGGAGGGGAGUGAAAUAGAACCUGAAACCCUGCACUUACAAGCUGUGGAAGCACAUUUCUUGUGUGACCGCGUACUUUUUGUAGAACGGGCCAACGAGUUACGUUAAGUAGCAAGGUUAAGCACUUAAGGUGCGGAGCCGUAGCGAAAGCGAGUUUUAACUGAGCGUUCAGUUACUUGACGUAGACCCGAAACCGGGCGACCUACCCAUGAGCAGGAUGAAGCGAAAGUAAAAUUUCGUGGAGGUCCGAACCCACGAGCGUUGAAAAGCUCGGGGAUGACUUGUGGGUAGCGGUGAAAUUCCAAUCGAGCCCGGAGAUAGCUGGUUCUCCCCGAAAUAGCUUUAGGGCUAGCCUCAAGGUGAGAGAUACGGAGGUAGAGCACUGAAUGUCCUAGGGGGUAUUGCACCUACCGAAGACUAUCAAACUCCGAAUGCCGUCAUCUUAUACUUGGGAGUCAGACUGUGGGUGAUAAGAUUCAUAGUCGAAAGGGCAACAGCCCAGAUCGUCAGCUAAGGUCCCUAAAUGUAAGUUAAGUGGUAAAGGAUGUGGGAUUGCACAGACAACCAGGAUGUUGGCUUAGAAGCAGCCACUCAUUCAAAGAGUGCGUAAUAGCUCACUGGUCGAGUGAUCCUGCGCCGAAGAUUUCCGGGGCUAAAACUUACUACCGAAGCUACGGCAUCAUUAUGAUGGGUAGGGGAGCUUCCCAUACGGGUUGAAGCAUGACCGUAAGGACAUGUGGACAGUAUGGGAGUGAGAAUGUUGGCAUGAGUAGCGAGAUGUGGGUGAGAAUCCCACAGGCCGUAAACCCAAGGUUUCCAGGGGAAGGUUCGUCCGCCCUGGGUUAGUCGGGACCUAAGCUGAGGCCGAAAGGCGUAGGUGAUGGACAACAGGUUGAUAUUCCUGUACUACCGAUAACCGUUUGAGAGAAGGGAUGACACAGUAGGAUAAGCUAAGCACACUGUUGGUUAUGUGUGCCCAAGCAUUGAGGCAGUCAAAGCAGGCAAAUCCGCUUUGAUAAUGCUGGGAUGUGAUGGGGAGCGAAAUUUAGUAGCGAAGUAGCUGAUUUCACACUGUCAAGAAAAGUCUCUAUCGAGGUUAAAGGUACCCGUACCGCAAACCGACACAGGUGGGUGAGGAGAGUAUCCUAAGGCCAGCGAGAGAACUGUUGUUAAGGAACUCGGCAAAAUGACCCCGUAACUUAGGGAUAAGGGGUGCCACCAUCCGGUGGCCGCAGAGAAUAGGCCCAAGCGACUGUUUACCAAAAACAUAGGUUUCUGCUAAGUCGCAAGACGAUGUAUAGGAGCUGACGCCUGCCCGGUGCUGGAAGGUUAAGGGGAUCUGUUAGAGCAAUCGAAGCAGUGAACUUAAGCCCCAGUAAACGGCGGCCGUAACUAUAACGGUCCUAAGGUAGCGAAAUUCCUUGUCGGGUAAGUUCCGACCCGCACGAAAGGCGUAACGAUUUGGGCACUGUCUCAACAACAGACUCGGUGAAAUUGUAAUUCCGGUGAAGAUGCCGGAUACCUGCGACAGGACGGAAAGACCCCAUGGAGCUUUACUGUAGCUUGACAUUGGGUCUUGGUACUACAUGUACAGGAUAGGUGGGAGGCUUUGAAACCAGGACGCCAGUUUUGGCGGAGCCAUCCUUGGGAUACCACCCUUGUAGUACUGGGACUCUAACCAUAGGCCAUGAAUCUGGUCUUGGGACACUGUCAGGUGGGCAGUUUGACUGGGGCGGUCGCCUCCCAAAAGGUAACGGAGGCGCUCAAAGGUUCUCUCAGUACGGUCGGAAAUCGUACGUAGAGUGUAAAGGCAAAAGAGAGCUUGAUUGCAAGACAUACAGGUCGAGCAAGGAUGAAAAUCGGACUUAGUGAUCCGGUGGUUCUGCGUGGAAGGGCCAUCGCUCAACGGAUAAAAGCUACCCUGGGGAUAACAGGCUUAUCUCCCCCAAGAGUCCACAUCGACGGGGAGGUUUGGCACCUCGAUGUCGGCUCAUCACAUCCUGGGGCUGUAGUAGGUCCCAAGGGUUGGGCUGUUCGCCCAUUAAAGUGGUACGCGAGCUGGGUUCAGAACGUCGUGAGACAGUUCGGUCCCUAUCCGUCGCAGGCGUAGGAAAUUUGAGAAGACCUGUCCUUAGUACGAGAGGACCGGGAUGGACGUACCUCUGGUGUACCAGUUGUUCUGCCAAGGGCAUGGCUGGGUAGCUAUGUACGGAAUGGAUAAGCGCUGAAAGCAUCUAAGCGCGAAGCCAACUUCAAGAUAAGAUUUCCCACCGCAAGGGUAAGACCCCAGAAAGACUAUCUGGUUGAUAGGUCGAAGGUGUAAGUGCAGCAAUGUAUUUAGCUUAUCGAUACUAAUAGGUCGAGGACUUGACCAA
rnacentral:rRNA from 1 species